UCGGGUGUGGUGCAUGGUGCACGGCGGCUUGCAAUCGUUUGGCGACGAAGCUGAGCCACAGACUGGGGCUCGACUCCCCGCACCUGAA